rfam:Porcine hemagglutinating encephalomyelitis virus strain VW572, complete genome.
GGGUUCGGGGUACGAGUGUAGAUGCCCGUCUCGUACCCUGUGCCAGUGGUUUAUCUACUGAUGUACAAUUAAGGGCAUUUG